AGUUGUCUUUGACAUCCUCUUCAGGUCCGUUUCUAUAUGAGCAAAAGCACAAACUCUUUGCAUAUUUGCAGUAGUUUGAUUUUGUGAAGUUUAGUAACUAGCAAACAGACUAAUACUUGGAAUUGUGUUGAUGGUAUGAGACAAUGUAAUUGUAUGAUGAAGGGAUAUUAGUUCAUCUAAUGAACAAAUUAAAGUUGUGGGUUUGCUUAAAGUAAUUCAAAUAAUAUGAGAUUAUGCCAAUGAAAUAAAAUUGAUUGUUAGUCCAAAAGGAUGAUGUGGUAAAGCUAUUAAUCUAAUGAAAUUCAUUCAAUUAUUUUGUAAAAAUUUCUAUAUAUGUGAAAUGUUGAUUUUGACUUAUUGUAAUAAAUUCCAGUAUAUGUUAACUUGUUAUUACCAUCUUGAGUUGUGGUUAUUAUGGGUAGAACCUGCAAGGUUAAUUAUAAAGAGAGUCUUUUAAGAAGAGAGCCUGCUAUUGUAUGAUCUACCAGAGUUUGAUUGUUUGCAACUUUUUUCCACUGUGGCUGGAAUCCUAAAACUUAUAGUCUUUUCUAGAUAUUGACAGAUUUGGAGAUUAAUUGCAAAUCAACAAUACAUUUGGGAUUAACUGAUUAAAGCUUUGACUGUGGUUACCCCUUUUGCAAGUUCGAAUUGAUGUAACCCCUUUCAACUUAGGUUGCAUGGAUUAUGUAGAUGUAGAUCAAUGUUAUGAACCUUUAUUGAGUUGUUCCUGCAGGACUUUAUAGUUGUUUCACUUAUGUUAUAUUUCUAAUGUUGCACAAUGAUUAUGAAGGUUGGAAAUUUUAUUUAUUUAUUUUUUCUUUUUUAAAGAUUAUUGACCAUUUAUUUUCUUGAUGCCAUCAUAUUAAAUUUUGCAGAUAUCUACAACACUUAGGUUACGAAGUUACUUAUGUGAGAAAUUUU
rnacentral:misc_RNA from 1 species